ensembl:lncRNA
CCACCGUGCCUCUGGAGGGGCAGGAGAGGGAGAGAGGGCCGUGCAGCGUCACAGUAGAUGGGCCUCCGGCAGCCCUGCAGUCUCCUUCCGCCUGGACGGUCCACCAGGAGGGAGGACCCAGAUAUCCUCGGGGUGGUUAGGAGGGGCUCAGAAUGAGCCUGUGUACCUCGGACUCCCGGAUGAGGGGAAACAAAGAGACCCCUGUGGACCAAGGGCUGGAAACCGGCAAGUGGAGCCUGAGACUUUCUAGCAGGUGCCUGUGAUGGAGCAGCGGUAACAUGGACGGCUGCCACCCAGGGGUCUCUCUCACCUCUUCUGCCUCGCCUCUCCUGAUGCUUCUUCUACCACGUCUCUCUGACUCCAGCUGGAGAAAUUUCUCUGCUUUUGAGGCUCAAGUGAUUAGAUGGGACCCAUCAGAUAAUUCCGGAGAAUAUUAAAACAUGGAGGCGGAUGGAACUCAAAGGACAGACCUGAGACAGAGCCUGCAGAGAACUUCGUCUUGCUAUUGUCACGGAGCAUGACGAAGGUGACAGAGCCUACUUGACGUGCACUUGUGGAAAGUGGAAGCACUCUGAAGUUCAGGCGGAUCUAGCUUCUGCAACUUGCCAUUUUGUGCACUGGGACAAGCAAUCUUGGGCUUCAGUUCUUCAAAUGUAAGAUGAGAGUACUCAAGUGGGACAGGGAAGGGGAAGAGGCCCAGCAAAGUCUGAAAGCUGCAACUCUGGCACAGUGAGGUGGAGCUACACACAGAGCUUCUGCUUCAGUGUUUCAGAUGCUGCUUAGGAGAGUGAAUAGCAGAUGCAAGACAUGGAUGCUGUGUUGGAAGUGAAACAAACAUCAUUAUUGGUUGAAUGUUGACCGUGACACAGGACACAUGGUCAAAACCUCCAAGACCUUGCACUAAAAGAAGCAAAAUGUACAUGUCAAGAGUCCUGUCCUUCUCAGCAAAGGUUAGCUCAGCACUUGACCAGAUUGCGGAAGCAGAACUUCUGUAGAAAGGUUGGGACUAUGUAUCUUUUGGGAAAGAUGAGAAGGAGAAAAAGAACUGUCAUCCUAAGAGAAUAUUCCAGCAUAGGAUUCUCACCAUAAUCCUAUUGGCGCAGCAUGCUGGUAGUGGAAGGUGAGCCAAGUGCCAUUUGAAGAUGGAUUCCAAGGAGAGGAUGGCCACUGGACAUGUGAGGUCACAGAUUUUGAAUGUGGGAAGGCGCACAGAUGGAAUCUCAGAGCUGUCUCAGAGGUUCACUUGAGGAGAGCACAGUGGGAGAGAAGAUGAACCGAAGAACCUCCAGGUUCUGGGGGACAAGGAAGUGUGGACGGGAAUCACCAAGUUCUAGCUCCACUCUGCCGGAUGGUGUGAUGUGGUGGUUGAGAACAGAGACUCCAGAACCAGGUUUAUGGAUUCAAACCCCGGCUCUACCAUUUAUCCGUCGUGUGACUUUGGGAGCAAUUCUUUCAGCUGCGUCUGAUAUGGUAGAUGAUUUCCAGCUGCAUUUCUGGAAGCUUUUCAGGAGCCAUGGCAGGAAGGAGGAAGCUACACGGACUUUAACCAAGUGUCUGCAAAUUGCACAAGGCUGGGGACCCUGGAUUUGCCCCAUUCUUUGGUACAAUUUUUUGGUUCAAAUUUAAAUCUGGGGGCAGCACUAGGUCACCGGUCGUGCACACGCCAUCACAUAAAUAAAAUAGCCCCAGAACAAGACUUCUGUGAAAAUUAUGGUAGAACACAGACUCCAAUAAAUCCUCCUGUUGCAAUGGAGAGGAAGGGCAUGUCAGUAUGUACUAGGGGCAGAAAACACGUCCCAGCAGAUGCAUAAUUACUUUCUGAGGGAUGCCUGUGACUCACGCCUGCCCAGUCUCAGGAUUGCCUCUCCUCAUUAGCUUGUGAUAUUGCAUGUCUCUGCCUGAAGGUCAUUUUGAAUGCAAUGGCCAGGAAUAGCAAAUGGAAAAAGAACUGAAAAAGCCCCACUCGUGGAACUGUCAACAUAAUAAAGUUUCAAAUUAGAUAUCAAAUAGCACUUCAGUGUUUUGUUUCUUAAAGUGAUGUUAAUUUGCCUUGUGGGAAUCUUGUGUGUAUCUAUUCUUAAGGUAACUGGGCGAAUAUCUCUUUUCAUAAGUGACUGUCCUUAAAGAUGGAAAUAAAUCUCAGAGUGUGGGGUAAUGAGCUGAGAGCCUUCAGGACACUCACAGCCAUCGAACACUACACAGCAGGCUCCUGAUUUAGAUGCAGCCCCUUCAUUGUUAAGUGCUCUGCUUCUGAGAGUCCACAGAGAACUAACUUCACCUAAACUGCAGAGUCCCCGGCGUUGAUCUGAAGGACUAAUUCUCAUCCUCUCCAUCACCGGGAGGCAUACAAACGUCUUUGGGGCAGCUUUUGGCAGCUUAAAAGUCACUUGCACAGAUCACAGGUGUUCGCUGUGAGGUGGGUGCUCACAUUCUCAUUUUAUAGACGAGGAAAUUCAAGCCCAGCAAAUGGUAUGUCUUGAUUAAACUCUCAACACUUACAAGGAAAGACCUGGGCCCUAAACCCCACCUUCUGACUCAAAAUCUAAUUGUAUUUCUGUUGCCUCUUGUAAGGAAGACAGCACAGUGCAGUUGGCAAGGCCUACAGUGGCAGAUUCCAUUCUCUACCACCCAUGUGAUCUUGGUUCCAGAAGCUGCUGGAUAAUCAGGUGGGACCUGAUUAUCACAAUUGGUUUCUGGUGUUGGAGAAGGGAAGGUAGACCCUCAUUUAUUGACUGUGUGUGUAAGGCUCUUUGCAUUAGCACGGUUAAUCCAUCUGGCCCUGCAGAGGGGCGUGCAGAGCUGCAGCACCGUCUGACUUCAGGGACUGUGUUUACCCCUUCGUCUUACUACUUCCAGGAUUUCUUCAUGCUCUUUGUCAGGACCUGUGGUGGAGCAAAGAAAACAGGAAUGGGUAGUCAACAACUUUAAGAUCUUGUCAGCUGAGACAAUCCUGUCUUAAAGUACAAGAGUGCGAAUAGCUUUGCCAGAGAAAUUCUCCAGUGAUUUCACAGAGACCAGUCUGAAGAGGGUAACUUUGAUACCUGCAGAGGAAUGUGCUUGCUUUUGACCGGUUCGCUAACACUAAGGUCUCUACAGAAAACAGUGCUAUCAAACGUAUGAUGCGGAAAUUGGGUGUUGGAUUUCGUUUGGCAUAAGCUGCUUCCACGGAUUCACCACAAGGAGACCACGUUCUCCUUCUUGAACUCUGUGAGCUUAAAGUACAGGCUGUCCUAUUGAGUGAGUUGUGUGGGGCCAUUUUCAAGUCUAGAAGUCCUUUAUAAUGCUUCCUAUUGGGUAUAUGGCAUCCCAUUGGAGUCACAUCAUUCGUCAACUGAGGAUAACGACAAAGGCCAAAGAUAGCUCUAACAGCUGCUCUUUGGAUAGAUCCAAGUAAAACAUCGACCUCUCCCUCUGCCUGCCCAUCCACACCAACCAUAAAAUAAUUUGUAUGUAAAAUACUGUUUUCCAAACUUCUCCAAUAACAUGAGAGGGAUCCACCUACAGAAAAGGCUGCAAACAACUGCGAGAUGCCCAGAGUCGGAGAACUUCCAACGUUGGUUAAUUCAGUGGCUGUGAUGUCAUCAAGGACCCACUAUCCAUCCAUCUUUCUACUCUGUCAUCUUCAGCAGUUUGGUUUGUCCUCUUAGGCUGGCUCCCAUGAUGGUACCAGAUGGCUCUUUCAUUACAGUAGUGUGAACUCUGGAAAGUUCUCCAAAGCCUGCUUGGAUGCUUCCACUGAUGGAGAACUCAGCCCCUGGAUCAGCCAAGCAAAGAUCCCACCCAUCUACAUUCUCAGGAGGGGCAUUCAAGAAAAAUAGGGUACGUGGGAGAAGAUAGAAGAUGGGGAAGUCAACCUCUGCUUAAUCUCUUCAGCCUAGAGAUAACACUCCUCACUUCUGCUCAUAUUCCACUGAUAUGAGCCAGUUUCUUGGAGCCACCUAGGUGACAGAUGAAGGAGGAACUGGGAAGUGUGGUUCAUAUCUGGUGGCCACUUUUCAGAUCCAAGGAGAUUUUGUGCCUGAUGAUUUAAUAAAAUGUAUGUUGAGC